GAUGAACGCUAGCUACAGGCUUAACACAUGCAAGUCGCGGGGCAGCAUGGGGGUUGCUUGCAAUCCCCGAUGGCGACCGGCGCACGGGUGAGUAACGCGUAUCCAACCUGCCCUUCACCACGGGAUAACCCGGCGAAAGUCGGACUAAUACCGUAUGUUGUCCAUUGACGGCAUCCGAUUUGGACGAAAGGCUUGGCGGUGAGGGAUGGGGAUGCGUCCGAUUAGCCAGACGGCGGGGUAACGGCCCACCGUGGCUACGAUCGGUAGGGGUUCUGAGAGGAAGGCCCCCCACACUGGAACUGAGACACGGUCCAGACUCCUACGGGAGGCAGCAGUGAGGAAUAUUGGUCAAUGGGCGUAAGCCUGAACCAGCCAAGUAGCGUGCAGGAUGACGGCCCUAUGGGUUGUAAACUGCUUUUAUGCGGGGAUAAAGUGGCCCACGUGUGGGCUUUUGCAGUUACCGCAUGAAUAAGGACCGGCUAAUUCCGUG
rnacentral:rRNA from 1 species